AGCGAACGCUGGCGGCAGGCCUAACACAUGCAAGUCGAACGAAGUCUUCGGACUUAGUGGCGGACGGGUGAGUAACACGUGGGAACGUACCUUUUGGUUCGGUACAACUCAGGGAAACUUGAGCUAAUACCGGAUGAGCCCUUAGGGGGAAAGAUUUAUCGCCGAAAGAGCGGCCCGCGUUAGAUUAGCUAGUUGGGGAGGUAAAGGCUCACCAAGGCUACGAUCUAUAGCUGGUCUGAGAGGAUGAUCAGCCACACUGGGACCGAGACACGGCCCAGACUCCUACGGGAGGCAGCAGUGGGGAAUCUUGCGCAAUGGGCGAAAGCCUGACGCAGCCAUGCCGCGUGAAUGAUGAAGGUCUUAGGAUUGUAAAAUUCUUUUACCAGGGACGAUAACGACGGUACCUGGAGAAAAAGCCCCGGCUAACUUCGUGCCAGCCGCCGCAGUAAUAC
rnacentral:rRNA from 1 species